rnacentral:miRNA from 1 species
AGAAGCUCUGCUCUACAGGUAU